rnacentral:rRNA from 1 species
UACGAAGGGGGCUAGCGUUGUUCGGAUUUACUGGGCGUAAAGCGCACGUAGGCGGAUCGUUAAGUCGGGGGUGAAAUCCUGGAGCUCAACUCCAGAACUGCCUUCGAUACUGGCGAUCUUGAGUCCGGAAGAGGUGAGUGGAACUCCUAGUGUAGAGGUGGAAUUCGUAGAUAUUAGGAAGAACACCAGUGGCGAAGGCGGCUCACUGGUCCGGUACUGACGCUGAGGUGCGAAAGCGUGGGUAGCGAACAGG